rnacentral:lncRNA from 15 species
CUAAACAAAGAAAGAACAAAUUACAAUAUUUCUAAAAACCAGUCAUUAAUCCAGUCUUUAAAUCAUGUUCAACAUUUACACAUUUAAGUAUCAUAAAUCUCUCAAAUAAAGAUUAGACUGACAUAUAAGUCAACAUAAUAUUAUUGAACAAAUCUAACCUUCCUGUCUCUUAUAUACCAUAAUAUGAUGUAAAUUAAUAUAAAGUAAUUGCUACUCACAUUAAAGGUUCAUUAGAAGUCACACAGCACACAUCUCCAUCAUCUACACAUCAUCCAGGUGAAAUGUUUGGAGACAAAGGAAGACAAGUCGAGUCCAUCCCUCUCUUUAUAAUGUGAGAGUGACUCACAACUGCAUUGAACCACCAGUUGUUUCAUUGUGACGAGGAGGGAAAAUACACUUACAGUUUGUAACAGGGACAAUAAACAAUGAUUAUUAGUUAGUAAAACUUUUGGAGGAGAAAUUCUUCCAAAUAUUGAGAGUUUACUGACAUUAAAAUGUUGAUUCAUUUAUCAACAUUUAGUACAGACACACAUUACAUGUAGAAGCUCUUUUGUCUUUUUCCACUCACUGUUCUCAUAUUUGAAAUCCUGUUUCUUUAGUUUUUAAUGUUUAUUUUCAUACUGAUGAAGGAGUUUCAUAUAACCAGAACCAGAACCAGAACCAGACCCAGAACCAGACCCAGUGGAGAGUCUGCUACAGCUAAUGUGUCCUUCAAGAAGGAUCAAUCAAAAGAUAUGGCCAAAGGAAAAAGCUCUUCUCUCAGGUUGGAGGAGAUGAAGAGAAAACAAAUGUGAGUAUAAUCUGUUAACCUCAUAAAGAUUCUUUAAGACAUAAUAUAUUGAUGAAGCUGUGAACAUCAUUAAAACCUCUUUAGUUUAGUUACAUUCAUCUUUUCUGUCACUUGUAUCUGUUGUAUCCACACUGACACUGAAGUUCAAUCAACUUUAUUUUAUUGAAGAUCAACAACAGUAAAUAUUAUAAUAUAUAACCCUCAUAAUGUUCCUGUUGUCAUAGAAUAACCUAAUAAUAAUUCAUGUUAAAGUGAGAAGUAGAGGAAACUACUUAAAAAGAGGAGGGAAAUCAUUCAGUGGGAACAGAAUCAACUUUUACUGAACUUUUCUGAUGUCUACUUGGUAGUUUCUGUGUAUCCAGCAGUUGCUGUGGCUGAUGGAUCACAAUCUAAUUUACCAUCCUGGUGGUCUUUCUCUCUUGUCCAUUAGAACCAG